AGCGAACGCUGGCGGCGUGCUUAACACAUGCAAGUCGAGUGCGUAGCCCUUUGUAGCAAUACAGAGGGUGGGCGCACGGCGCACGGGGUGAGUAACACGUGGGGUAACCUGCCCUUCGGUGGGGAAUAACCCCGCGAAAGCGGGGCGUAAUUCCGCAUAACAUUCCGGGGACACAUGUUCUCGGACUCAAAGGAGUGAUUCGCCGGAGGAGGGGCCCGCGCCCGAUUAGCUUGUUGGUAGGGUAACGGCCACCAAGGCUUUGAUCGGUAGCCGGUCUGAGAGGAUGGCCGGCCACACUGGAACUGAGACACGGUCCAGACUCCUACGGGAGGCAGCAGUGGGGGAAUCUUGCGCAAUGGGCGAAAGCCUGACGCAGCGACGCCGCGU
rnacentral:rRNA from 1 species